AUGCCUUGGAUAAUCCUGAUCGCUUGGGGAUUUGCUGCCUGGAAGUAGGAAGCAGGUCUCUGAACACUCAGAUCCUGGUGAUGCAAAUUUUCCAGGACCCUGACAGCCUUGGAAUCACAGAUGGCCUGGCCUGGUGCAGCUUCCCUGACCGUCCUAGGCCCUUAAAUACCCCACUCAAGGGCCGCCCACGCAGGUUCCUGCAGCCUGGACAAUGGCCCUGGGGCAGCAGAGUCUGAGCAUUGCUGAGCUUCUCUGUCAGCAG